rnacentral:rRNA from 1 species
GCCGGCAGCUAGCUUUCUGUAACUUUCACAUGGUCGCCCACUAAAGCUAAGCAGGGCUGCGCCUGGUCAAUACCUGGAUGGGAGACCACAUAGGAAAGCUAGGUUGCUGCCGGAA